rnacentral:rRNA from 1 species
UCGGAUUGAAGGCUGAAAUUCGCCUUCAUGAAGCCGGAAUUGCUAGUAAUGGCAGGUCAGCAUACUGCCGUGAAUACGUUCCCGGGCCUUGUACACACCGCCCGUCACACCAUGAGAGUUGGGAAUACCCGAAGCCUGUGAGCUAACUUUAAGAGGCAGCAGUCGAAGGUAGAAUCAAUGAUUGGGGUGAAGUCGUAACAAGGUAUC